rnacentral:rRNA from 1 species
GAUGAACGCUGGCGGCGUGCCUAAUACAUGCAAGUCGAGCGAACAGACGAGGAGCUUGCUCCUCUGACGUUAGCGGCGGACGGGUGAGUAACACGUGGAUAACCUACCUAUAAGACUGGGAUAACUUCGGGAAACCGGAGCUAAUACCGGAUAAUAUAUUGAACCGCAUGGUUCAAUAGUGAAAGACGGUUUUGCUGUCACUUAUAGAUGGAUCCGCGCCGCAUUAGCUAGUUGGUAAGGUAACGGCUUACCAAGGCAACGAUGCGUAGCCGACCUGAGAGGGUGAGCGGCCACACUGGAACUGAGACACGGUCCAGACUCCUACGGGAGGCAGCAGUAGGGAAUCUUCCGCAAUGGGCGAAAGCCUGACGGAGCAACGCCGCGUGAGUGAUGAAGGUCUUCGGAUCGUAAAACUCUGUUAUUAGGGAAGAACAAAUGUGUAAGUAACUAUGCACGUCUUGACGGUACCUUAUCAGAAAGCCACGGCUAACUACGUG